UCUGCCUUAAGGCGAUAAUAUUGCAAGUACCAAGAGGAAUUAAAAUUAAUAAUUCUACUUGUAUAUGGCUGUGAACAGAUAAUUUGCUGGAUGUUUAUUGUUUCUGAGUGCAUGCUAUCUGCGCUCUUCUGAAUGGGUUUAUCCAACGUUAUGUGAAGAAAAUUAUCCAGACGUUUGAUGAGUGGCAGGCACAAGAUGAGUCUGAUAAAGGGUGUGGAAUGUCGGAAAAAAGAGAACCUGGAGGUUGAAUAAAAUCAAACUGAAUUCGAGAUGAGAGACUCAUCGCAUGAAUGCAUCAUCACAGGUUCAUAUUUUCAACAUCAUUGCCAAGUCAACUUAUCAGAGGAGCAGUGUCUUGUGCAAGACCAUGACUGACAAAGGCUUUCAACAUAGUUUGUCAGUUACAUAGUGAUGAAAACCUCAUCACCCCACAAGUUCUGUCAUCAUCUGUUCUGUUCUCACGCCGUUGUCUGCAUUCCAUUAACCCACUGCCUAUAUCCUGUUGUCCACACUCUACUUUCUUAAUUGCCUUCCACCUAACCAAAGGAUCACAUUUAAUUUCUGCAGUCCUGCCACAUCCACUCAUGAAUAGUGGUGGACAAUUGAACACACACUGGAGGAGGAGUGUCAUCUAACAUCCCAUUUCUCAAGGGGUGCCUAGCACAGCAGGGCAAUGAAGAAUUUGCAAUAACCUUCAUUCAGAAUUGUUGAGCGGAUGAUCCAUCUUUGCCUCCUCCAGAGGCUCCCAACAUUACAGGGUCCCAACAUUACAGGGUGGCAUGGUGGCUCAGUGGUUAGCAUUGCUGCCUCACAGCACUAGGGACCCAGUUUUGAUUCCAGCCUCAGGUGACUGUCUGUGUGAAGUUUGCAUGUUCUUCCCAUGUAUGCGUGGGUUGCUCCGGGUUCCUCUGGACGUAUGAAUAGGAAGGGUUUAAAGGGAAUGUUCAUUCCACAUGAGAUCAAGAAAUAGAUGGAAACAUUGGAUAUUACAAAGUAUAUGGACACUGACAAUGUUCUGGCAACAUUACUGAAGACUUGUGCUUCAGAACUUGCCAUGUCCCCAUUAAAACACUAACAAUAUGGAAAAUUACCUGGGCAUUUCUUGCACACAAAAAGUAGAACAGGUGCAAACCAGCCAAUUACCACCCAAUCAGUCUACUGUUGAUCAUCAAUAAAAUAAUGGAAGGUGUCAUCAAGCCACUACAAGGCCAUGGCACCUUCCUCUACAACCGCUGAAGGUGUAACACCUGCCCAUUUACCUCCACUCUCCUUACUAUCCAAGGUCCCCCAACAUACGUUCCAGUUGAAGCAGCAUUUUGCCUGCACUUCUCACAAUCUAGUUUUUGGCAUUCACUGCUCAUAAAUGUGGUCUCCUCUACAUUGGGGAAAUGAAGUGUGGACCGUGUGACCAUUGAACAAAACACUGAUGUUCUCCCCCAAAAAUGAACUUGAACUUCAAGUUGCCUGUCACUUUAACACAACACCCUGCUCCCUGGCCAACAUUUCUUUCUCCGGCUUGCUCCAGUGCUCCAGUGAAACUCAGUAAAGCUGGAAGAACAACACCUCAUUUUCUGCUUGAGGACUUUACAGCCCUCUGGACUCAACAUUGAGUUCAAUAAUUUUAAGGCCUGAACUCCCCCAUGUCCUAGCUCCCAAUCCCACACACUAGGCCUUGUUCCCACAUGGUCUGCCAUCACACACUACCUAUUUUUAGCCACUAACAGUCUCUAUUAACAGCUACUCACUCUCCCAGUUAGAUCGCUAUCCAUUCCUUUGUCUGUCCAAUGUUCUUCUCUCUCUUUGGGCUGUAUCUCCACCUAUCAUUUAUUUUUUACCUCCUCCCCCACCCUAGCUUUUGCAUAUAAACCAACAUGUUCCUAGCUGCCAUCAGUUCUGAGGAGAGGUCACCAGACCCAAAGAUGCUGCCAGACCUGAUGAGUUUUUUCAGCAAUUUCUGUUUUUUUUUUCUUAUUCACAGCAUUCGCUGUUCUUUCAGCUUUUACACAGGAAUGUAGAGUUCAAAUUAAAGUCAAGUCAGACAUGAUGCAGUUGAAUGUAGACAAGGAGGGGGCUGGAAGGAAAAAGCAAGCCAGGCAGCAUCAGGAGGUGGAGAAGUUGAUAUUUCAGGCGUUACCCUUCUUGAAUCUUGUUGAAUGGCAGAACAGGCUUGAAGGGACAAUUAGCCUAUUCUUGUGCCUGCUUGAUUUGUCUAUAUGUGACUGGAAGCCUGUGUCCAAUGGUGUACUACUGGGUCAGAGCUGGGUCAUAGAAUUAUAGAAUCCCUACAGUGUGGAAACAGGCCAUUUGGCCCAACAAGUCCACACCAACCCUACGAAGAGUAACCCAUCCACACCCAUUCCACUACAUUUACCCCUGACUAAUGCACCUAGCUUACACAUCCCUGAACACUAUGGGCAAGUUAGCAUAACCAAUUCAGCUAACCCACACAUCUUUGACUGUGGGAAAAGACAAGAGCACCCAGAGGAAGAAACCAGUGCAUCGGGUGGCUGUUUUCUUUUGAGUACAGUGAUGAUCUAGACAUGAAUGUGAAUAGUUUGAUCAGUACAUUCACAGAUGACAUCAAAAUUGGUGAUAUUGUAAAUACUGAAAGGAAAGCCUAGGACUAGUACAUUACAGAUAAGCUGGUCUGGUGAGCAGAACAGUGGAAAAUGGGAUGUAGGAAUAUUAGCUAAGUUUCUGGGUUAAUAAUGCAAUGAUAUCACUGGGUCAUCAUAUACCCCCAGAAGGGAUUAAUUAUGAAGUUAUCUGGACCAGAGCAAUUCACCUGUGAAGAGAGACUACAUAGGUUGGUGUUGCUUUUUUCCUUAGAGAAGAGAAGGCUGGGGAGGAUCAGAUUGAGAUGCACAUGGUUCUGAGUGGCUUAGACAAGGCAGAAACUUUCCCCCUUAGUAGAGGAAUCAAUAGUUGGGAACACUGUUUUAAGGCAAGAAGCAGAAGAUUUUAAUUUGAUUGUUUUUUUUCUGAUUUGAGUGAACGCUUUGUUUUUGCUUCAAGAGUUGUCAGUAUCUGGAACCUACUGCCUGAGAAUGUAGUAGUGGCAGGAAUCCACAAAGUGUUUAAGAUACAGAUGGUGACAUCUUGAAAAAUGUCCAUAUUAUGGAGGAGGAGGUGCUGGAUGUCUUGAAAUGCAUAAAAGUGGAUAAAUCCCAGGACCUGAUCAGGUGUAGCCUGGAAUUCUGUGGGAAGCUAGGAAAGUGAUUGCUGGGCCCCUUGCUGAGUAAUUGUAUCAUUGAUAGUCACAGAUGAGGUGCCAGAAGACUGGAGGUCGGCUAACGUGGUGCCACUUUAAGAAAGGUGAUAAGGAAAAGCCAGGGAACUAUAGACCAGUGGGCCUGACAUCAGUGGUAGGCAAUUUUUUUUUUAGAUUAGAUUCUGUGCAGUAUGGAAACAAACCCUUCAGCCCAACAAGUCUACAUCGACCCUCGGAAGAGUAACCCACCCUACCCUAUAUGUACACCAACUAAUGCACCUAACACUACAGGCAAUUUAGCAUGGUCAAUUCAUCUGACCUGCACAUCUUUGAACUGUGGGAGGAAACCAGAGCACCCAGAGGAAACUCACGCAGACAAGGGGAGAAUGUGCACAUUCCACACAGACAGCCGCCCAAGGUGGGAGUCGAACCCAGGUCCCUGACACUGUGAGGCAGAAUUGCUAACCACUGAGCUACAGUGCAGACAUGAUGGACUGAAAGGUUGUAAAAAUUCCAAAACUCUAGCUCUAUGACACCUACACUCCCUAUCAUCUACCUAACCUCCCGCCAUCAAAGCCAAUUUUUCCUACUUAUUCAAAACUUCCGAACGGCUAUAUUGCUUACCUUAUUAACUUAUCACCUUUGUACCAUACCCACUUGACAAGUAAUUUCUUCCCACUUGGCAUGUGACCCUCACCUGGCACACUACCCACACCCUACUGGUACCAUAUCCAGCUGCCACCUCAUCAGGCACCCUAUAGAAUGGGCAUUCUAUGGUCCCCAACAUUUAUCCCACCCAGCUGACUCCUUACUUGCCUGGCAUCCUACCCUCAAGCCUCUCAGCAUCCUAACAUCACUCUUACCAUACCUACUUACAGCUACUGACAAAACAGCUGUCAGAAUCUUUACAUUUCAGAAAAAGGCAGCAAAAACUUUGAUACAGAGUUUAUUAAACUUUGUGAAAGAUC